rnacentral:rRNA from 1 species
CGCGAAUGGCUCAUUACAACAGCCGUUGUUCCCUUGAGACUAUGAAUACUUGGAUAACUGUGGCAAUUCUAGAGCUAAUACACGCACUGAAGCCCUGACCUUGCGGGAAGGGUGCAUUUAUUAGAACAAAACCAAUCGGGGCAACCCGCUGUUUGGUGAAUCUGAAUAACCCAGCUGAUCGCACGGUCUUUGCACCGGCGACGCAUCUUUCAAGUGUCUGCCUUAUCAACUUUCGAUGGUAGUUUAUGUGACUACCAUGGUUAUAACGGGUAACGGAGAAUAAGGGUUCGACUCCGGAGAGGGAGCCUGAGAAACGGCUACCACAUCCAAGGAAGGCAGCAGGC